rnacentral:lncRNA from 1 species
GAAUGUGCAGGACACAGUCACAAUCUUCUGCGUUAUCAGAAUAUCACGUUAAAAAUGUGUAAAGUGUUUGUAGAAAGUGAAAGCAUGAUAGUUUAUUUUAAUAAAAUCAACAUUUAGAUUUGCUUGUGUGUGUGUGUGUGUGUGUGUGUGUGUGUGUUGUUCUUCAGGUCUGGAUCGGUUCUGCAGGUUUAAUCAGUCUGAUAUCUGUUACGCAGCUCUGGGACACAAACUCAAUCUGCUGAUGGUGCGGGACGCUAGUAAAUAUGACACGACGAUACAAAAGAGAAUAAACAAAAACAAAACAAGUGAUCCAGUUUGUAGAGUAAAGAAUGGCAGGAUGCGGGAGAAAGAAUGUGAUCUUUAUAGUAACAGACCUGAAGUUGCAGUCAUUAAUGGGACUCUGAUAAUAAACCGUGUGAUCAGAGCAGAUUCAGGGAGUUACACAGUAACUUUAACUCCCUCAGAAGGCUCAGACACAUCUACAGAUCUUCAAGUGAAUGUUGAAGCUCCUGUUGGCUCAGUGGAAGUGUCCAUCAGCUGCUCCUCCAGUGGAGUGAAGAGGGCGUCCUGCUCCUCUGAGGGCGAGCAGAUCCUCUACAGCUGGAGUCUGAAUGGAGGUCCACUGAUGGAUGGAAACUCCAGCUUUGAUCUGAAUGAGGGAACUGAUGGAAACAUCAGCUGCAGUGUGAAGAACCACGUCAGUCACGGACAGAAGACCGUUAGUGUCAAACCCUGUCCUGGCUUACAUGUCUCUCUGAUUGUUUUGAGCUGUGUUGCACUGAUCCUGAUUCUGCUGUUCAUCACCGCAUAUCACAUUUUACAAAAAAAACAGGUCAAGUCGACACCAGGUCAGUUCAUUUCGAAUCUGUAGUCCAUAAACUAACUGAUAAAGGUUAAAAUGUAGUACUUUUUGAUGCAAGCAGCAAUUAGAGA